GGAAAGGCCACUGGAGUGGGCUUGUCCCCCAGCCAGCCGCCUCGCCUCGCCUCCCCCCUUGGCCAGAGUCCUGCACCAAGCACAGCAACAAGAACCAAGCCGAGGCAGGCGUCCAGGGAGAAAAAACCAGCUCGAAUAAGCAGGGCUGGCAGAGCCAUAACCCCCCGGGAACCCGAGAACCGGGCCCUGCGGGNNNNNNNNNNGGGGGGGGGGGGGGGGGGGGCGGGGGGGGGGGGGGGCCUCCCCCCCCCCCGCCGUUGGUUCUCCCCCCCCCGCCGUUAUUUCCCCACCUUACCCUUACCCCUCCCGACCCCGCUGCUAUUUCCCCCACCCUCUCCCCCUGUCCUCCUAGGGGAGGCGGCUGCCGCCCCCCGGCCGGGCGCUGCGCACCCCGGGCGCUGCCUCUCGCUCCCCGCAGCCCACCCGGAGCCCCCCCGACCUCUUCCCCAGUCCUCCCCCAGCAUCCUCCCAGUCUCCCCACCGACCUCCCCCCAGCUCCGGGCCGGCGAGAGGCGCCCCUUACCUGCGCCCCCCCGGCGGGGAUGCUCGGGGCGCUGCGGGUGGUGCCCGUGGGUCCCGCUCCGCAGUGCCCUGCGCUGCGCUUUCGCUUUCCCUUCGCCUUUCGCUUUCCCUUCGCCUCGCUGCCGUCGUCGAUCCCUCCCGGGCCGUGGAGGAGGAGCGGUCCCUGCUGCCGCCCCCCCCUCUCCGAGCCGCUCUGAGCCCCCCCCCGAGGCGAGCCGGCUUCAUCCCAGCCAUCAGGAGCCUGGCCGGGCCCCCCAGCACAGCCCUCGGAUCCCCCCCGAGCAGACUUGGGGACACUGCAGGGACGUGGGGAUGCGAGGGGACCCCCCGGGGGGCAGAAGGAGCCCACAGCCCAGAGGAGAGCUCCCCCCGAGCAGCCCCUCUGUAAGGGGGAGAUGUACAACCUGGGGUGGUUUGGAAAAUGCUAUGGGAGCCACGAGAUUUCUGAUAGCUAAGGACAAGCAAGGAAUAAAUCGAAAAGAAACGUUCUUGGUUCACCCCAUGGUCUAA
rnacentral:lncRNA from 1 species